rnacentral:misc_RNA from 1 species
UCUCCGUAGGUGAACCUGCGGAGGGAUCAUUACAGAGUUCUCGCCCUUACGGGUAGAUCUCCCACCCACUGUUAUCGUUACUGUCGUUUCUUUGGCGGGCCGCCGGGUCCCCCGGCCGCAGGCGUCUAAUAGGCGGCGCGCGCCCGCCAGAGUCCUUCAAACUCUGAAUGUUAGUGUCGUCUGAGUACUAUAUAAUAGUUAAAACUUUCAACAACGGAUCUCUUGGUUCUG